rfam:Vigna angularis cultivar Jingnong 6 scaffold23_14, whole genome shotgun sequence.
GUUGCUUCUGCGUUUAUACUACGAUGAGUGCCCCUUUUCGCGGUUGGGCUUUCGCACUGGGAAGCAUAUAGAUGUGAAUUGCCAGUUUUAAACAGCAUGAUGUAAUCUUUUUCUUUGCGUUGUGUUACCUGUCUUCUGGUAAAUCC